CCUACGGGAGGCAGCAGUGGGGGAUAUUGCACAAUGGGCGCAAGCCUGAUGCAGCGACGCCGCGUGGAGGAAGAAGGUUUUCGGAUUGUAAACUCCUGUCUUCAGGGACGAUAAUGACGGUACCUGAGGAGUAAGCCACGGCUAACUCCGGCCCAGCAGCAGCGGCAAUACGUAGGUGGCAACCGUUGUCCGGAAUUACUGGGUGUAAAGGGGGCGUAGGCGGGACAGCAAGUCGAGUGUGAAAUCUAUCGGCUAAACCGAGAGCUGCGCUGGAAACUGUGGUUCUUGAGUGAAGUAGAGGCAGGCGGAAUUCCUAGUGUAGCGGUGAAAUGCGUAGAUAUUAGGAGGAACACCAGUGGCGAAGGCGGCCUGCUGGACUGUAACUGACGCUGAGGCUCGAAAGUGUGGGUAGCAAACAGGAUUAGAUACCCCUGUAGUC
rnacentral:rRNA from 1 species